CCUACGGGAGACAGCAGUGGGGGAUAUUGCACAAUGGGGGAAACCCUGAUGCAGCGACGCCGCGUGUGGGAAGACGGUCCUCUGGAUUGUACACCACUGUCCCCAGGGACGAAGAUGACGGUACCUGGGGAGGAAGCUCCGGCUAACUACGUGCAAGCAGCCGCGGUAAUACGUAGGGAGCGAGCGUUGUCCGGAAUUACUGGGUGUAAAGGGAGCGUAGGCGGGGAUGCAAGUGGGGUGUCAAAACUUCGGGCUCAACUGGUAGUCGCACUCAAAACUGCAGGUCUUGAGUGAAGUAGAGGCAGGCGGAAUUCCUAGUGGAGCGGUGAAAUGCGUAGAUAUUAGGAGGAACACCAGUGGCGAAGGCGGCCUGCUGGGCUUUUACUGACGCUGAGGCUCGAAAGUGUGGGGAGCAAACAGGAUUAGAUACCCCUGUAGUC
rnacentral:rRNA from 1 species